rnacentral:rRNA from 1 species
GACGUAGGUGGCGAACGUUAUCCGGAAUUAUUGGGCGUAAAGGGUGCGUAGGCGGCAUGAUAAGUUAUUGGCGGCAAAUCGAGGCUCAACCUCGUGGAAACUGAUAAUACUGUUUUGCUUGAGUACAGGAGAGGUUAACGGAACUCCAUGUGGAACGGUAAAAUGUGUAGAUAUAUGGAAGAACAUCAAUAAGGCGAAGGCAGUUAACUAUUCUGUUACUGACGUUGAGGCACGAAAGCGUGGGGAGCAAAAAGG